UCUUUGCUUCAUCCAUUUUGUAUAAUUGGGUAGCUGUAUAUGUAAGGGCCACAUGUAGGGCAGGCUCUGAAUGGGUGUUCCUUCAGUCUCUGUUUUAAUCUUUUCCUCUCUAUUCCCUGCCAAGGGUAUUCUUAUUCACCUUUUAAAGAAGGAGUGUAGCAUUCGCAUUUUGAUCAUCCAUCUUGCGUUUCAUGUGUUCUAUGCAUCUAGGGUAAUUCAAGCAGUUGUGCUAAUAGCCACUUAUCAUGUGCAUGCCAUGUGUGUUUUUAUAUGAUUGGGUUACCUCACUCAGGACGAUGUUUUCAAGCUCCAACCAUUUGUCUAUGAAUUUCAUAAAGGCAUUGUUUUUGACAUCUGAGUAAUACUCCAUUGAGUAAAUGUACCACAUUUUCUAUAUCCAUUCCUCUGUUGAAGGGCAUCUGGGUUCUCUCCAGCUUCUGGCUAUUAUAAAUAAGGGGGUGAUGAACAUAGUGGAGCAUGUGUCUUUUUUAUAUGUUGGGGCAUCUUUUGGGUAUAUGCCGAAGAGUGGUACAGCUGGAUCCUCAGGUAGUUCAAUGUGAAAUUUUCCUAGGAAUCUCCAGACUGAUUUCCAGAAUGGUUGUACCAGUUUGCACUCCCACCAAUAGUGGAGGAGUGUUCCUCUUUCUCCACAUCCUCGCCAGCAUUUAUUUUUACCUGAGUUUUUGAUUUUAGCCAUUCUCACUGGUUUGAGGUGAAAUCUCAGGGUUGUUUGGAUUUGCAUUUCCCUUAUGACUUAAGAUGUUGAACAUUUCUUUAGGUGUUUCUCAGCCAUUCGGCAUUCCUCAGCUGUGAAUUCUUUGUUUAGUUCUGAACCCCAUUUUUUAAUAGGGUUAUUUGUCUAACUUCUUGGGUUUUUUGCAUCUUUUGAAUAUAAGCCCUCUAUCUGUUGUUGGAUUGGUAAAUAUCCUUUCCCAAUCUGUUGUUUGUCGUUUUGGCCUAACCACAGUGUCCUUUCCCUUCCAGAAGCUUUGCAGUUUUAUGAGACCCCAUUUGUCAAUUCUUGAUCUUAGAGUAUAAACCAUUGGUGUUUUGUUCAGGAAAUUUUUUCCAGUGCCCAUGUGUUUGAGAUGCUGGCCUAGUUUUUCUUCUAUUAGUUUGACUGUAUCUGGUUUGAUUUGGAGGUCCUUAAUCCACUUGGACUUAAGCUUUGUACAGGGUGAUAAGCAUGGAACGAUUUGCACUCUUCUACAUGCUGACCUCCAGUUGAACCAGCACCAUUUCCUGAAAAUGCUCUUUUUUCCAUUGAAUGGUUUUGGCUCAUUUGUCAAAAGUAAAGUGCCCAUAGGUGUGUGGGUUCAUUUCUGGGAGCUGCCUUAUGUAUAAUACCCAAGAGCUAGAAGAAUCCGUAAUGGCAUUCAUCAGAGGAAUGAAUACAGAAAAUGUAGUAUAUCUAAACAAUUGUGUACUACUCAACUCUUAAAACCAAUUAUCUCAAGAAAGCCAAAGACAAAUGGGAUGAUCUAGAAAAUAUCAUAAUGAUUGAGGUUACCCAAUCACAAAAUGGUAUGAAAUCACACAUUUUAUGAAAUCACCAAAAGUGGAUAUUGGCACAAAAGCUAAAAUUACCAAAGAUGCAGUUCACAGACAACUGGAAGCUCAAUAAAAUGAUACACAAAAUGUGCAUGCUUUAAUCCUUUUCAAAAGGUGGACACAAUAAUAUCUAUGAAUUUCGAGCAGAGACUGAGGAAAUCCCAUUCAGAGCAGGCUGUACAUGUGGCAAAAAUAUAUACACAUCAGUCACCAAAACUAGAUAAGAUUGAUGGAGCUAAGAAGUGCAUUGUGCCAGGGACUGUAUAGAGAUCUUUCCUGUGAGACACAGCUAGAGCAUAUCAAAUAAAGAAGUGAAUUCUAGAGGCAAAUCAGUGAAUUGAAAACGGACAGUAGGGGAGUUAUAGAAAAAGAGGAGUGGGGCCGGUUAGGGAUCAUAUGUGCAGGUAAUAGGGAAAGGAAAUAACAUUUCAAAUGUAAAUAUAGAAAUACCCUAUUAAAACAGGAAUAAAAUUUGCUAAAAAAAUAAAAAGAAAUAAAGAAAUUUAAGAAAAGAAAACUGCGAAGUAUUCACAUCUAUUGACUCAGAAAUGUAAAAGUCAUUUUCAUGGAAUGAUAGUCAGAGUAAUACUAAUGGAAAGACUGAGAUGAUGAAGACUCAACUAGAAACACUUCUCUCUCCCAGAUAUCAGUAUCAGACAAAAACUGUACUAUAGGCAUCCAGAGCAUGGUGGAAUUUACUCUGAGGCGAGGACUCAAUACUUGUCUUUCCAUUCUUCCUUAGGACCAUUUUCUUCUUGACAAAAAGAAUAAGGCUAUGAGCUCUCAGCAAAACAACUGUGCCCUGCCCAUCACUUGGCUUUGGAAUAAAAAAAAAUAAUGAUAUAAACUCUUUGACUUCCAGGAAUGAUAUGAACAGGAACUGUAAGAGCAGGAAGUCCAGAUGCUUCUGAGAGGACCCCAGCUCCUAAUUCCCAUUUGUAGACGGCUGAGAUCAAGACAAUCUCUUCAUGAAACAACUCAACACCUACUAAGGACUCAGAGAGCUUUCCCAAGGACCUUUUUUGUACCAAGACAGAAGGACCAAAACCAUCAGCUUUAAAGAAAACUGUGCCCUUCCCAACACUUGGCUUUGGAAAAAAGACAUGAAUGAUAUAAAUUCUCCGACUUCCAGGAACCAUAACUAGCAGGGAAGUCCAGAUGCAUCUGAGAGGCUCCCAUCUCCUGAUUACCAUAUUUGAAAGGCUCCAAUCAAUACUAUCUUUUCAGCAAACCUUCUCAACCACUACCCAGAAAUGACUGAGAUUUCCCAUGGACCACAUAUUUCUUUUUUUUUUUUAUAACAAAGCAGAAGGCCAGCUUCCUUCUUCCCAUCUUUGAUCACUUCAUCCUCUUUUUUCUCCUUCCCAAAGGCUGUUUAUGCUGAAUUAGAGGCCAAAUAGUAAACCCUAGAGGUACUGAAGGACUACUGGAGAGGCAACUUCUGUCAGGACAACACUUGUUACAUCACAGAAGAAACUAGGGAUCUCCAGGAUACAACAGAUUUUUUUAGAUAGGCCUAAUGGUGAUGUCACUGAGAAUUGCCAUGGCCUACCUGCUAAAGUGUUUUCCUUUCAAUGACCAGAUUCGAGGGUGCCCUUGCAAGGUUUGUCUCCUGUGAAACAAUGGAAACCUUUUCAUACUACAUGUCUUUAAAGCUAGAAACUUCUCUUUAUUUCCUUAGUGGUUACAUGCUCUGAAAGGAAAAGAUAAUCAGGAGCUUUGCAUGGGUAGAAAAGAUCUCGGAACAUGGAGUGGAAGAGAUUCCUCUGGAUAAUAAUUUUAUUACCAGGUCCAUUACUGUGACAUACAGUUCAAUAUCCUAGGUUAUCUCUGUUUCCCAAAGGCCAGCAUUUUCCCUACAAUCCUUUAAUUGAAUUCAUAUUUCAUUACAGUUUCUCAUUGUACAUUCCUUGAUAGGUGACUUUAUAUAUUCCUGAAUGUGAAGUGAAAAAUUCUGUUUUCCAAUUUCAUGUUUUUUUGCAAUGAUUUUGGCAACCCAAGGGUCCCACCUAAGGUUGAAUAUAAAAAUGUAAAUAUUAUGUACCUACUUCCAAUGAUGAACUUCCAAAUCCUUAGUUUAUCCAAAAAUUUCGAGACAUCAGAAAAGCUAAGGAAAACAUGAAAUAUAGAAUAUGUUUCAGUAGUCUCAUUAGACAUCAGUUCUUUAAUAUCUAACUUCCUGUUCCUCUAGGGCCAGACGUGAAGGUUUUCGAGGUUUUACCAUGGUUGUUACUUCAGGACAAACAUAAAAUUCAGGAGGAUGUGCAGGGAGAUGAAUGGCUUGAUGUCCAGGGAAACUUCAACUUCAAUAGGUUCAUAAGAACAAGAGGGAGGUGUUUGGAAUUGCCAUUUGUGGAUUCUACAUUCUUGACCUAGGUGUACAUAAUCCAUGUGAAAAUUCCACCUAACCUCAUAGCUGUAGGAGCCACCAAAAUGUAUAGUUGGAACCAGAUGUACAUCUUUCCUGAGAGACACAGCUUGAGCAAGUCAAAUACAGAAGAGAAUGCUACUGGCAAACCAGUGAACCAAAAAUGGAUCUCUUGUUGGUAGUUUUUGAGAAAGAAUUACAAGAGCUUAAGGGGAUUUCAAUUCCAUAAGAACAACAAUGCCAGUGAACCAGAGCUUUCUGGUACUAAACCAAUAUUCAAAGACUGUACUUGGACAGACCUAUGUGUCCAACUGCAUAUGUAGCAGUGGAUGGCCUUGUUGGGAACCAAUGGAAGGAGAAGUUCCUGGUCCAACCUAGGUUUAACUCUCAGUUCAAGGUAAUAUCAAGGUUCACUAAGUUAGGUUAUAGAAGAAUGUUAGGGGGACUAGUUACGGGUCUUAUGGACAUGAAACUGGGAAAGAAAAUCAAAUUUGAAAUUCAAAUAUAGAAAUAUCCAAAUAAAAAAAGCAAUAAAAUUUGCUAAAAAUUUAAAAAAAUGAAAUAAAUUAAAGAAAAGACAUCUGUCAGCUAAUUACACAUAUUGACUCAGAAAUCUAAAGGGUAACUAUCAGGAAAUGGUAAUCAGAGUAAUACUAGUGGAAAGACUGAGAUGAUGAAGUCUCAACUAGAAGCUCUUCUCUCCCAAAUAUCAGUGUCAGACACAAACUGCACUAUAGGUAUCCAAAGCAUGGAGGCGUUUACACUGAGCUGAGGAGACAAUACUUGUCUAUCCUUUGUUUCUUCGGACCUUUUUCUUCAGGGCAAAAAGAGUGAAAGCCAUGAGCUCUCACUAGAACAACUGUGCCCUUCCCAACAACUGACUUUUGGAAUGAAGAAAAUGAUUAUAUAAACUCUCUGAAUUCCAGAAACCAUAUCAAGCAGGGAAGUCCAGAUGAUAAUGAGAGAAUCCCAGCUCUGGAUUCCCAUGUGUGUAAGGCUCAGAUCAAGGCUAUCUCUUCAGAUACAACACUCAACGCCUACCCAAGACUCACUGAGCUUUCCCAUGGACCAUUUAUUUCUUCCUUUUUUUAUACAAAGAGAGAAGGCCAGCUUCCUUCUCUUUUAUCUCCCUAACAAAUGGCUGUUUAGCCAGAAUAAGAGGUCAAUGAGUUAACCCUAGAGGUCCUCAAAGAAUAUCCAAGAGGCAGUUGCUGUCACCAUGACACUUGUGACAUCACAGAAAAGCUAGAGCUCUUCAGGAUACAAGAGAUAUUUCAGGGAGGACCUAAUGAUGAUGUCACUGAGAACUGCCAUGAUCUAACUGUUGAACAGCUUUCUUUACAUUGACCAGAUUUGAGGGUUCCCUUUCCAAGAGUGUCUCUUGUGACACACUGGAAACCUUUAAAUACUAUAUAUCUCUAAUGCUGGAGACUUCUCUUUGCUUCAUUAGUACGUACAUGUUCGGAAUAGAGAAUGUUGGUCAGGGGCUUGGCAUGGGUAUAAAGAUCUAGGAACAUGGGGUGGAGGAGAUUAUUCUGGAUAAUAAUUCCACUCCCAGUUCCAUUCCUGUGACAUACAGUUCAAGUUCCUAGGUUUUCUCUGUUUCCCAAAGUCCAAUAUUUUCCUUCCAGACAUUUAGGUGAAUGAAUAUUGUAUUACAUUUUUUAUUGUACAUUCUUUGAAAGGAGACUUUAUAUAUAUUACUGAAUGUGUACUCAAAUAUUCUGUUUUCCAAUUUUAAUUUUUGCAAUGAUAUUGGCAACAAAGUUGGCCCAGCUAAAGCAUGAAUAUAACAGUAUAAAUAUUGUAUACCUACUUCAAAUGAUAAUCUCUCAAAUCCUUAAUUUAAGCAAAAAUUACCAGCCAUCAGUAAAGCAAAGGACAAUAUGGACUUUAGAAUGCGGUUCAGAUUUUCUUUUAGGCUUGAAAAAUUUUGCGAAGAAGGUUUUGUGGGUGUAUUUGUGUCUUUAUCCCUCCAUUGCUGGUCUUUCCAGUCAAUGGGAGUUGGCCUCUUAAUGUUUCAUAUCACCAAUGUAAGUCACAGCUUAGGUCACCCCAUUGAUUCGUGGGUACCUCCAUUAUACCAGGUCUCUUUCUCUUCCUGGAGGUUUCUCCCACCUCCUCAUCUCUUAAAGUUCAAGAUUUCCUUUCUUUCUCAUGACUAUCGGGUCCUAU